CUUAUUAUACCUUAGUACCUACCUUCCUCACUGUCAUCACAAUAAUAAUACUCAACGGAUACACAUUUGUUUUGAUGAAUGAUGAUGACACACGUGCUAGCAAUGGUGGUGGAUGGUGUUAGUCACUUUGUUAAAACGCUUUGGGGUCUUCAAGAAAGGCGAUGGUCUUACACUUUUGAUGUUGUUACCUCUGCUGCGGUCUCCAUAACCGUGACAUUUGUGCUCUGUUUCUUGUCCAUUCAUAAUCAUAUACAAAGACGAGGAGGUGAUAUGGUAUUUGCCUCUUUCUGAUGUAAUGCAAUGUAACUACUCUCAGAACUAUAUGUUUCUUUUCUUAAUCAUUUAGCAAAUUUUUAUUAUUUAUAAGGUUUAUGUACAUUGUAUUGCCCAUGAUGUUAGUAAGCUAAAACUUUAUUUACGUCGAUGACUCGCACCCUUCCUCGGCAAGAAUAAGUGUUCACCAUAGGUAAGGCUUUAAAGAAAAAUUUGACUUAUUCAAUCCCGCCCUUUUAUUGAUGUAUGUUUUUGGUUCUAAAGAGUCUGGUGGUUAAUCUCACACUGGAGAGAGGGGUAUUCCCACUUCAAACUCACGGUCUAACAUAUUAAAUGUCAUUGGCUGUACUUAUGAGACAGCUCUGUUGAUAUUAUCCUAAUUUUUUUUUUCUUUUCACCUCUUGAUUUCAUCACUAUUAAUUAUGCAUUUUCAGACAGCCUUACUCUGUUGUUCAAGUUUCAAUACCACUAAACAAGAACCAAUAAAGGAGUAAGGCUUACCAUAUCAUAAGUACUCCUCUGUUCACCAUUUUAAAAGCACCCCAAACUCAGGAUCUCCUCCACGAACAAUACAUCUUCUGUUAAUAAGUAGCUUCCCAUCCACUAUAUGGAUUUUGAAUUAAUAGAUAGACAAUUUUCCCAAAUAUGAUUCCUUGUUCUCUUGUAAGUUCAAAGGUGUGGCUUUAUGCGGCUUUCUGACCAAACAAUUGCUUGAUUGUAAAAGUCAACAAAAGCUAG
rnacentral:lncRNA from 1 species